rnacentral:piRNA from 1 species
UGCCACCUUUUCUCCCAGCCUCCUCUCAC